GGUGCAGGUGAUGAUUACAUGCGACCAAAGCCUGAGAGCUUGUGAUUAGAACUUUUUUGGCAACUGAUGCACC
ensembl:snoRNA